rnacentral:rRNA from 1 species
UACGUAGGGUGCGAGCGUUAAUCGGAAUUACUGGGCGUAAAGCGUGCGUAGGCGGCUUUGCAAGACAGAUGUGAAAUCCCCGGGCUCAACCUGGGAACUGCAUUUGUGACUGCAUCGCUGGAGUGCGGCAGAGGGGGAUGGAAUUCCGCGUGUAGCAGUGAAAUGCGUAGAUAUGCGGAGGAACACCGAUGGCGAAGGCAAUCCCCUGGGCCUGCACUGACGCUCAUGCACGAAAGCGUGGGGAGCAAACAGG